UACAGAGGUGGCAAGCGUUGUUCGGAAUUACUGGGCGUAAAGGGCGCGUAGGCGGCCUUCUAAGUCAGACGUGAAAUCCCCCCGGCUUAACCUGGGAACUGCGUCUGAUACUGGGAGGCUUGAGUAUGGGAGAGGGAUGUAGAAUUCCAGGUGUAGCGGUGAAAUGCGUAGAUAUCUGGAGGAAUACCGGUGGCGAAGGCGGCAUCCUGGACCAUUACUGACGCUGAGGCGCGAAAGCUAGGGGAGCAAACAGG
rnacentral:rRNA from 1 species